rnacentral:rRNA from 1 species
GAAGAGAAAGAAAUUCGAUUCCGUAAGUAGCGGCGAGCGAACGCGGAUUAGCCCAAACCAAUAAAGUUUUCUUUAUUGGGGUUGCGGACAUAUCAUAACGAAGAGGUAUCGUAAUUGAAGAGGUUUGGAAAGACCCACCACAGAAGGUAAUAGUCCUGUAUGUUAAACGAGAAGACUUUAGAUAUGAUCCAGAGUACCACGGGACACGUGAAACCCUGUGGGAAGCAGGAGGGACCACCCUCCAAGGCUAAAUACUACCUAGUGACCGAUAGCGUAUAGUACCGUGAGGGAAAGGUGAAAAGAACCCCGGGAGGGGAGUGAAAUAGAACCUGAAACCCUGCACUUACAAGCUGUGGAAGCACAUUUCUUGUGUGACCGCGUACUUUUUGUAGAACGGGCCAACGAGUUACGUUAAGUAGCAAGGUUAAGCACUUAAGGUGCGGAGCCGUAGCGAAAGCGAGUUUUAACUGAGCGUUCAGUUACUUGACGUAGACCCGAAACCGGGCGACCUACCCAUGAGCAGGAUGAAGCGAAAGUAAAAUUUCGUGGAGGUCCGAACCCACGAGCGUUGAAAAGCUCGGGGAUGACU